rnacentral:lncRNA from 1 species
CCCUAAUGCUUUUAAGCACUGGAUUGUGCUGUGUUUAGUCUUUCCAUUGGCCCCUCAGUUAAAUCAAGACCUAAGUGUGUGCUUGAUUAUUUCUAAAUUAGUUUGUUUAUAUGGUGGAUUCUGUUGAUGGAUCUUUAUAAACCACACUUGCAUCCCUGGGAUGAAGCCUACUUGAUCAUGUUCUCCCAGGUCUGCCCUUGUGACAUUCCCCUCUAAAACAGGAGGAGAAGAGGGAAGGAGGAGGAAGAGAAGAGGAAGAAGGAGGAGGAGGAGAAGAAGGAGAAGAAGACAAAGAAAAAGAAAAAGGAAAAGAGGAGGAAGAAGAGAUCAAAUCCAAUUUGUAUUGCUCAUAUACUCGUUGGAGCAUGGUCAAAUUCCCAGUGUCCAGCCCCUUAUAGAAAACUAAGUCUUUCCCACCCUCCAGGAGAUUGUGGAGAGCUACUCUUCAGCAUCCUUAUCACAAUUUUUAAGACUUCUCUUUGCUUUCUGUCUAGGUUAGUACUUUUGUGGGGGUAGAGUUAGGUGGGGGGUAGAAUGUAACUUAUUUUUAUUGCUAUUAUUUCCAUUGUCUGACUAUAUCCCAAUUUCUUCAUUAACUUUUUUUCUUAGUUUUUCUUUUAAAAUGAAUAGUAGUGAAGCUCUUUGAGCUCCCCCUUACCCCUGAGUCAGGGUUUUUUUCAAGUCACUAUAUGGCCCUGGCUGUCCUGGAACUCACUAUGCAGACUAGGUUGGUCUCAAACUCAGAGAUCCACUGUUGAGUGCUAGGAUUAAAUGUGUGUGCCACCACCACCCUGCUGAACAUCCUCAUGUAAGGCCUUUUCUCUGCACAUGUAUUUCUUUCUCUUGGGGACAUUCUAAGAGUAAAAUUGGUGUUUUAUACAUUAAAUAAGAUUGUAUAAA